rnacentral:miRNA from 1 species
UUCAAGUCAUUCAGGUC